rnacentral:rRNA from 1 species
UUAUGCUAGAAAGAGCGCAGGGUGGAUGCCUUGGCACUAAGAGCCGAUGAAAGACGUGAUAAGCUGCGAAAAGCUUCGGGGAGGAGCAAAUAUCCGAUGAUCCGGAGAUAUCUGAAUGGGGAAACCCGGCUGGACAGACUCCAGUCAUCCAUACGCCAAUCCAUAACGUAUGGAAGGGAACCCGGUGAACUGAAACAUCUAAGUAGCCGGAGGAAGAGAAAACAACAAGUGAUUCUGUGAGUAGCGGCGAGCGAAAACGGAAGAGCCCAAACCGGAAUGCGUGCAUUCCGGGGUUCGGACCGCGUAAUUGAUCUGAUAAGUUUAGCAGAAUGGUUUUGGGAAAGCCAGCCAGAGAGGGUGAAAGCCCCGUAAGCGAAAGACGAGUCAGCAAGGCGGGAUCCAGAGUACCACGAGACACGAGAAACCUUGUGGGAAUGAGCGGGGACCACCCCGUAAGGCUAAAUACUCCUUAGUGACCGAUAGCGCAUAGUACUGUGAAGGAAAGGUGAAAAGGACCCCGGGAGGGGAGUGAAAGAGAACCUGAAACCCUGUGUUUACAAGCUGUGGAACAUCUUUAUAUGAUGAACCGCGUACUUUUUGUAGAACGGUCCGGCGAGUUACGCCAUCUGGCGAGGUUAAGUUCUUAAGGAAUGGAGCCGAAGUGAAAACAAGUCUUAAUAGGGCGUUAAGUCAGAUGGAGUAGACCCGAAACCGGGUGAUCUAUCCAUGUCCAGGAUGAAGUUGCCGUAAAAGGCAAUGGAGGUCCGAACCCACAUCCGUUGAAAAGGGUGGGGAUGAGGUGUGGAUAGGGGAGAAAUUCCAAUCGAACCCGGAGAUAGCUGGUUCUCCUCGAAAUAGCUUUAGGGCUAGCCUCAUGAGAGUCUUUUGGAGGUAGAGCACUGAAUUCCCGCGGGGGCGUCAAAGCUUACCAAAGGAUAUCAAACUCCGAAUGCCAGUAAGAUGAUUCAUGGGAGUCAGACUGCACGAGAUAAGUUGGGUAGUCAAAAGGGAAAGAGCCCAGACCUGCAGCUAAGGUCCCAAAAUGUGUGUUAAGUGGAAAAGGAUGUGGGAUUUCAAAGACAACCAGGAUGUUGGCUUAGAAGCAGCCAUACAUUAAAAGAGUGCGUAAUAGCUCACUGGUCGAGAGGUCCUGCGCCGAAAAUGUCCGGGGCUGAAACACACUACCGAAGCUCAGGAAUUAACGUAGUUAAUUGGUAGAGGAGCAUUCUUAAAGGGAAGAAGCAGUACCGGAAGGAGCUGUGGACUUUUAAGAAGAGAGAAUGCCGGAAUGAGUAGCGAGAGGAAGGUGAGAAUCCUUCCGGCCGAAUACCCAAGGUUUCCAGAGUAAAGCUGAUCUGCUCUGGGUAAGUCGGGGCCUAAGGUGAGGUCGAAAGACGUAGCCGAUGGACAACAGGUUGAAAUUCCUGUACUGCAGUAUAACAGAACUGUGGGGACGCAGAGGGAGAGCACUAGCGGGAAUGGAAUCCCGCGGCAAGCGAGGUAGGAGUCGCGCUGGCAAAUCCGCGUGACAAUCCGAAGACGUGAUGCAUACCGAACUGAAGUAGGGAAAUGUGUGAGCCAGCUGCCAAGAAAAGCCGCUAUUGUUUGUACUGUACCCGUACCGUAAACCGACACAGGUAGGUGAGGAGAGAAUCCUAAGGCCGACGGGAGAAGCAUUGUUAAGGAACUCGGCAAAAUGACUCCGUAACUUCGGGAGAAGGAGUGCCAGUGAGAGCUGGCCGCAGAGAAUUGGCCCAAGCAACUGUUUAGCAAAAACACAGGUCUAUGCAAAACCGUAAGGUGAAGUAUAUGGGCUGACGCCUGCCCGGUGCUGGAAGGUUAAGGGGAGAGGUUAGCGCAAGCGAAGCUUUGAACUUAAGCCCCAGUAAACGGCGGCCGUAACUAUAACGGUCCUAAGGUAGCGAAAUUCCUUGUCGGGUAAGUUCCGACCCGCACGAAAGGCGUAAUGAUUUGGGCACUGUCUCAAC